CAUAGAGGCGAUGUCUGAGGAGCAGGAUCUAACACAGGAGCAGACAGAGAAGCUGCUGCAGUUUCAGGAUCUAACUGGCAUAGAAUCUAUGGAUCAGUGUUGCCAUACCUCGGAGCAGCAUAACUGGAGCAUAGAGAUUGCUGAACAGGACAGCUUGGAUGAACAAAAGAGUGUAUGGAGUGUUUUCAACCCGCCUCCAUCCCUACCCCUGCAAGUUAAUACAGCUGACCACAGGAUCUACAGCUAUGUUGUCUCAAGACCACAACCAAGGGGUCUGCUUGGAUGGGGUUAUUACUUGAUAAUGCUUCCAUUCCAGUCUACCUAUUACACAAUACUUGAUAUAUUUAGGCUUGCCCUUUGUUUUAUAUGGCUUCACCUUUGCAGCCGGAUCACUGACACUGUUGGGGACAUAGUUUCAUUUAUGCUAGCAUUUGAAUAGAAAUAUGGGAGGGCACACCCUGUUUUCUAGCCCAGAACACAUAGCCAGGCACCUGACAAUGCCAAGCUGGAGCUUCACUCUUUGAUUUGUCUUCUUGGAGAUGAUCAACAGGUCUCUGAUAAGUUUUGUUGCAACACACUCUGUGAACCCAAAGUUAUUUCAUUAAAGUUCUUUCUCUAGGAUGCUCUUCUGGGCAUGUUCUACAAACAAACCUGAGGGAUAUAGGGUCUCCUGGGGUUUAUGAGAGAACACCUAUCCAUUCCUGGCCAUGGUGAUGCUGAAGGAUCAGCAGAUGACUGU